rnacentral:lncRNA from 1 species
GAAGCUGCGAAGAUGGCGGAGUAAGGCGUGCCGCUGCAAACUGGCCUCUGGGCCGGGGGCGAGCAGCCCCCGGGAGGCCGAGUGCAUCUGUUGGACCGUGCGAGGAGAAGAAAAAAAAUAUCGGCCAGAGGAGAGGAACUAACCGAACAUUCUUCCUCCCUACCUUAUAGAGGGGAGUGGUCAUCUACACUAAAGCAAAGUGUUAGGCGCGUCCGUGCGAAGAGACCACCAAACAGGCUUUGUGUUCCUUAUCACAGGAAGAAAAUUUUCCUUGACCUUUAGGUGCUUUUAUAUUCAUCUCAAAAACAAAAUUCUGAACUCAGGACUUGGCAAACCACCGCUGAAACUUCACUUCUACACAGAGGCUUUCUUUCCCAGAAACCCAGACCAGAUGGAGUUUCACUCUGUCGCCCAGGCUGGAGUGCAGUGGCACGAUCUCGGCUGACUGCAGCCUCUACCUGCUGGGUUCAAGCAAUUCUUCUGCCUCAGGUUCCUGAGUAGCUGGGAUUACAGGAUGCUAUCAUCAAUAGAUGUAAUGACUGUAAUUGCAGCAGCCAUCCCGAAUCCAAGAGGAAAAGGCCAAAGUUUCUACUUAAUCAAAAAGAAUGUCCUGACCUUUUAUCCAACUCAUUUUAAAGAUUAAGAAAUUAACCAAAAUCCCAUAAUGCUUUUCAAAUUUAUGUUAAAAAUAUGUUACUAAAAGCUUACUGCCCUAACAAAA